AAAAGAGAAAAAAAUAAAACACAUUAAGCUAUACUUUUUAAUACACGUGGAAAAAAUCUUUUUGAUUCAAAAAAGAAAACUUUUUUUUUGUCCGAGACUUUCAAGUAUCUACUAGGCAUGAUAAAUGACAACACAAUAUUUUUUCAAUUUCUUUUUUUAUAUAUUUAUGUAUCUUAAUAUGAAUUCGAUAUUCAAAUAAACAAUAUAAAUUUCAGAUAAUGGAUUUUCGAAGUAUCUAUAUGCAUCCAUUCUAGAUUUGCAAUGAAUAUCAAAUACAAAUUUUAUCCAAAUCUGAAAGAUGUAUAUUAAAUAUUUGAAAUUUACAAUCUGAAUUGGCACCAUUGUUGCCUAAUAGUCAUAUUAAACUCUAAGCAAAGAUCUCCCAUAGCUAUUUUCUACAUCCAUAAAAACUCGACUAUGAUACUUUGCUUAAAAGAUAUUGAAUUUCUUAUUGUCCGACUCACCAAGUGUUAAUAAAAAGUAGACAUAUAGAGAGAGAGAGCGCGCUAGGGUUGGUAUCCUAUUCCAUGUUUUAAUUUCACUAGUAAAAUUAAGAAUUCGAUUCUUAUGUUAUUUCUUUUUUUUUGAAUAAUUACAUUAGUCGUUUUCAAAUUAUGGUUCAAAUUUUAACCUAAUCUCAAAAUACUCUAAUUGAGUCCUCAAAAUAUUAAUAUUAUAUUAAUUAUGUUCGUUCUACCAUCUCGAGCCAUUAACUUUAAGAUUGAAUGUUAGCUUGGACCAAAUGUACAAUAUCUAUAUAAAAAAUGUGGAAUGUACAAUAUAUACAAAAAAAUAUGGAUAAGGUUUUAAACAUUUGAACUUGCAUUUUUUGUUAAGUCACGUCAAAAUGGAUGAAAAAAUUAAUGUUUUUUAACUUUGUUGACAUAGCAUAAAUGUAUAUUGCCAUAUAGUUUUAAUAAUUUUUUUAUUUUUAAAAAAUAGUUUCUAAUUAUUUGCGAUUCAUAUGGCAAUUCAUGUGUUUGUAACGUCAUCAAAGUUAAGAAACGUUAACUUUUCCAUUCAUUUUGAGGUGAUUUAACAAAAAAAAAGUUUAGAGGCUAAAAAGGCAAAAAGAACUAAAUAUAGGGCUAAAAUGAUUUUAUUUUAUAAAGUUGGAGAGCCAAAUAAAUCAUUAUGUCUUAAAAAAUAGUCCUAAAUUUUAAUGACACGAGUUUUUUUUAAACAUGUCAAAUCUAAAUUAUUUUUUCUUUUAUUAAAUUUAAUUUGUUAAUACAAUAGGUUUAUAUGUGUUUAAAUUUGAUCUAUGCAUUUUAAAUAUUCUCGCGUUAUCGAGCUUUGAUUUAACACUCGUGUUAGAUUGAUGGAAGGAACUAAUUUAAAAUUUAGGCCAAAUAAGGCUUUACAUGAAAUUAACCUUUAAAUAAAUAAUACCUAAUAUAAUACCAAAAAUUAAAAGAAUGUCAUAAUUCAUUUUUGGAAGAAUGAUCAAUUUAGUCUUCAACGUUAUAUUUUUAUUGUCUUGGCCCUUAUCAUUUUUUGAGUAAGAUUUGGUUAUUAACAUUUCAAAAAUAGUAAAAUCGAUUCUCUUUAAUAAAAAUGUUGACUAAAACAUUUUUUUUUUUUUACGAUUCUGGUGUGGCAACUCGCGUGGCAAUCCAUGUGUACUUUGUGUUGGCAUGACGCUAUUUAUCUUAUAUGUUAUAUCAACAAAUAAUUUAAAUAGGUAAAACUUUUCAAGAAAUAAAAAAUAGGUAAAAAUAUCUGUAACACCUCCUAACCCCAAACGGUUACCGGAACGAGGUUAUGAGGCAUUACCGGACAUAUCAGACAACUUACUAAUAAUUUACAAUUAAUAUAACUUUUAUGGUAUAAUAUAAUAAUUGAGUCCCUAUCUUGAACUCUCAAAGUUCAAGCACGUGUUAAAAGUAGAACGGAACUUGUUCGAAUAUUCUGAAUUUUUUUUUAUAAAAAUUUCGGUCUGCUUAUUUUUACUUAAAACCUUCUGCAAAUUCAAACUAAAACAACCAGCACCAAUUUUUCACAUUCAUAUAACUAAUAUUUAUAUCAUUAACAUAAUUUCAACUUAAUAACUAUCAUAUCAUCAUUCAAAAUUGAUUAGAAACUUCAUUCAUUUAACAACUUAAUGUUCAUGUAUCAAAAUAUCAUAUACUUUUCUUACCAUUUCAUUUAACCAUCUAAAUCUUAUAAUUCAACCUUCACUACCCAAAGUAAUAUGCAUAUUCAAGUGACUAUAUAACACCUAUGUACAUGCCACCUUUACCCAAAAGAAAAAUAUACAUCACCAAAUUUGUGUUGGAGUCGGGAAUGUUCUGGAUGCUGAACCGGGACACUUGACUUCUACUAACCUGCGCACGGAAACAACCGUACGCUGAGUAUGGAUAUACUCAGUGAUAUUACCAUAAUUCAAAUUAUAUCAACAAUAGUAAAAAUAUAAAUAUUAAAAUACCUAACAAUUAAUGUCAUAUGUACUAAUUCAUAAAUCAAUGUAUUUUCUCAAACUUAAAUUUAUAUCACUUAUGAAUAUACAUUUCAUACUUUUCUCUUAUUAUCACAAUUCCAAUUUCAAUUCGUAAUUCAAUUUAUUUUUCUCGUUUCAAUGCCUCAAAUUCACAUUUCAAUUUUUCACCCUAUUAACGUAACUCGGACUUUGGCGGAUACACGGAUCCAACCAAACACACCAAUAUGGCACCCAGUGCCUCAUCGGAUAGUUCGAAGUAAUAGUUGACACCCAGUGUCUCAUCGGCCUAGCCGAAGUAAAGUUGGUACCCGGUACCUCAUCGAAUCUAUCCGAAGAAAUAUAGUGACAUCCAGUGUCUCAUCGACUCGAGGUCGAAGUAUCCCUGAACACUUCCAAUCCUAUGGCAUGCCAACUAUAUCCGACUCAGCCCGACUAGUUAAUAGGGUAUUCAAUUCACUUUCUCAAUCCUCUAUCAUCCCUGAACACUUCCAAUCCUAUGGCAUGUCAACUAUAUCCGACUCAGCCCGACUAGUUAAUAGGGUAUUCAAUUCACUUUCUCAAUCCUCUAUCACUUUCAAUUCACAAUUCAAAUCACCAAUCAUUUUUCAAUCAAUACGCUUUUCAAAUAAUUACAUCUUCCAUAAUUCACUUAUUCAAUUCAAUUUGAUUCAAUUUGCAUCACUUUCAUUUUCACUCAAUAUUCAUAUCAAUUUCACAUACUUACCUCAAGUCUUACUUACCAUACAUAACAAUAAAAAAAAUUCAGCAAUCAAUAAUAAUUAAAAUUCGAAUUAUAGUAAUACACACCGUAAUUCUCCCGUUUUAGUACUCGAUGACUUUCUCCUUUCCUUUCGAUGCUGAUGCUUCAGGUUCUUUGUUGGCUACGAAAAUAAUAAUUUAUAAUCAUCAAUACAACAUGAUUCAAUUUAAUUCAUGAGCCUAAACAUGCAAAUUUAACCAUUUUUAAUGUAUAUAUAUAAUUUCACCAUUAAGCUGUCUACUUGAGUCAUUGUUACUAAAUUAUUUAUAUCUUGAGCUACGAAACUCCAAAUUAAUAUCCGUAAAUUUUCCUUAAAACUAGACUCAUAUAUCUUCUAAUCAUAAAAUUUCCAGAAUUUUUGGUCUAGCCAUUUAAUACAGUUUAUUCGUUAAAUACUCCCCUGUUAUUUCAUUUGACAGUUCUGACCUCUCUCUACUAAAACUAAAUUAUCUCAUUGUACAGAACUCGAAUAAGGUUCUUGUUUAUUUAUUUUGAAACUAGAUUUAUUAAGGAGUUCACAUAUAUAAAUUACACUCCAUAAUAAUUUUUGUACAAUUUUUAAUGAUUUUCCAAAGUUAAAACAGGGCAUCUCGAAAUCACCCCGAACCAGUAUUACAAAAUUUCAAAUAUCUCUUGAUUCAUCAAUUAAUUGCUUACACUGUUUCUACUAUAAGAAACUAGACUCAAUAAGCUUUAAUUCCAUAUUUUGUUCAUCCUCUAGUUCAAUUUAUAAAAUUUUUAGUGAAUUUUCAAAGUCAGACCAUUGCUACUUCCCAAAACUGUUUUGAUGAAAAAUGUUAAUAACCAAAUUUAUAACACCAAUUCACACCUUAUUCCUAUUCAAAUUUCAUUUAAACUCAAAUUUAACUAUUAAAUUUUUAACAUAUUUUCUUAAUUCCUAAUUUUCCUCAAUCUAGUCCCUAAAACACAAAACUUAUAGCUUACUUUGCAAUUCAAUCCUUAUAUCUAUUCUAACUUGAAUUUCGUUCAAUUAAACCCCUAUUUCAUCAUUUUAUUCAACAUGAACUUUGUUUAAAAACCUAAGAACUUCGAAACUAACAACUUAAUUUCACCAAAAACUUGUUUUAAGACUUCUAAAAUAUCAAAAUUAUGAGAAAAGGACUUGAUUGAGCUUACCAAUUAACUCUAAGCUUCAUAAACCUUAUUUCCCCUUUUCUUUCUUCUUUCCUUUCUUUCUCCCCUGUUCUUCUCUGUUUCGUUUGCUUUCAUUCUGUUUCUUUUAACUUAUUUGUUUCUUUUAUAUAUAAUAAUAAUAUAAUAUAAUAUACUUAAUUUUUAAAUAAAUAUAUAUUUUUUUUAAUCAAUAAAAUCUUUGAUAUUUUCCACGUUAAACCGCCUCAGCUAUAGGAAAUGGUUUAAUUUCCUCUUAAGUCCUUCUAAUUUUUCUUUAAUCUAUAAUUAAACUUUUACUCUUAUUCAAUUUAAUCUUUUUUACUAAUUACUCUAAAUUAAGCUAAAUUUACUUAAUUAAAACCUAAUUAAACACACUACUAGACUCAUAAAUAUUUUUAAUAAUUAUUUUCGAACUUAUUUCACUAAGACGGAGGCCCGAUAACACACUUUUCUGGUGCCCACGGAUUUUGGGUUGUUACAAUAUCUCUCUAGUCCCUUUAAAAUUUCGAGAAAUAACAUUUUUUUGUCAAAUGUGCAUAAUUUUGUUUGGAAUAAUAACAAAUUUAUCUAUUGUAAUUUACAAAUUCUAUCAACUUGGUCAUGAUUUAACAAAUUUUUCCUAAACAUGUUUUUAUAAAUGUGUAUAUGUUAAGACUAAAUUUGUUAUUAUACCAAUCAAAAUUAUAUAUAGUUGAUGAAAGAUACUAGCGUCAUGAUUAAUUGUCCUUGAUUGCUCGCUUUUAAAAUUAAAAUGGAUUAAACUAAUUCGAUUUUGAGAGGGACUAAUCUGCGCAAAUUCAAAAUUGAUAAGAUUUGGAGAGGUCUUUUUACCUAAAAAUUAUAAAUGGUUCAUAAAAGUAAAAAAAUAACAAAACAUGAAGUACAUGUAGAUUGCCUUAAGGGCCAUCAUGUUUUAGUUAGUAUUUUUGUUAAAAAAAUCAAUUCGACUCAUUUUUUAAAAGUUCAUAAAAAUUUGUCUCUUUCUAAAAGGUCGAGAACUAAAUUUAGUUUUUUUUUUAAAAAAGGAGAGAAUAAGAGCCAAAUUGACAAAAAAAAAUAUAAGCAUUAAGGGGUAAAUUUAUUAUUAUACUUUUUUUUAAAUGAAAUUGGGCCAAAAUGGGCCUAAGUUAGCUUCACCUAAUAUAUAUAUAUAUAAUAACAUUACUAAGGCCUUUCCAACUGGUUGAAGGCCUUUCGGCUUUAGGGUUUUACGCUUCUAUAUAUAAACCUAAACGCCAACUUUUCCUUCAUUUCGCCGCUGACCCUAUUGAACAACAACAAACCAAAGGUUAACCAUGAGAGCUAAGGUAAAAAAAGAAACCAUUACCAUUGUUUUAUUUUAUUUUAACUUUUUAAUUUAGAUAUUGAUAUGGGUUUAUUAUUUUUGUUUCAUUUCAGUGGAAGAAGAAGCGUAUGAGAAGGUUGAAGAGGAAGAGGAGAAAGAUGAGGCAAAGAUCUAAGUAGUACAGUCUUUGUUGUUCUUCAUGGAUAGUUAUUUGAUGGGUACUUUUUUUUUGAAGGAUUUAAAGCUGUUGUUUUCAUUUUCAUGGCUUAGGGUUUUCGUUCUUGUAUUUUUGUUGAACCAUUUUCAUCUACUUGAUAAAUGUUAUUGAGUUUUUAGGGAUUGAAAUGAUUUGAAUUGGAAAGAGAUUGUUUCUUGCUAUCUUUGUGGAAUAAUUAGCACAAAAUGUUUUAGGAUAUUGAAAUGUGUAGAACUGUUGAACUGGAUGGGUUUCACUUAGGGUCGGGUAAAUUUCGGAUUCGGGACAUUUCGAGUUUUUGGUCGGUUUGGUUUGUAUUAGAGUUCUGGGUUUUCGGGUUUAUGACUUAUUUAGGGUUAGACUACUAGGGUUUUCUCCGUUGGGUCAGUAUCAGUUUUUGCUAUUUAGGGUUCUUUGUUUUAGGUUUGGGUCGAGUUCAAGUUGUGAGUUCUUUGUUGUCAAAUAGAGUUGGGUCUUGGGUUAGGAGUGGUUUGGGUCCAUUUCGAGUUUGAGUUUGCAUGGAUUCAAGUUGUGAGUUCCUUGUGAUCAGAUAGAGUUGGAUCGGAAUUUUGUUAGGAUUGAUUAAAUUUGAUUUGUGUUUAGGUUGU
rnacentral:lncRNA from 1 species